rnacentral:rRNA from 1 species
UACGGAGGGUGCAAGCGUUAUCCGGAUUCACUGGGUUUAAAGGGUGCGUAGGUGGGCAGGUAAGUCAGUGGUGAAAUCCUGUAGCUUAACUACAGAACUGCCAUUGAUACUAUUUGUCUUGAAUACCCUGGAGGUGAGCGGAAUACGUCAUGUAGCGGUGAAAUGCUUAGAUAUGACAUAGAACAUCUAUUGCGAAGGCAGCUCACUACGGGAAUAUUGACGCUGAGGCACGAAAGCGUGGGGAUCAAACAGG